rnacentral:rRNA from 1 species
GAUGAACGCUAGCGGCAGGCUUAACACAUGCAAGUCGAGGGGUAUAGUUCUUCGGAAUUAGAGACCGGCGCACGGGUGCGUAACGCGUAUGCAAUCUACCUUUCACAGAGGGAUAGCCCCAGAGAAAUUUGGAUUAAUACCUCAUAGUAUAGCAGUUUCGCAUGAAACCACUAUUAAAGUCACAACGGUGAAAGAUGAGCAUGCGUCCCAUUAGCUAGUUGGUAAGGUAACGGCUUACCAAGGCAACGAUAGGGGUAGGGUACCGUGAGAGGGAGAUCCCCCACACUGGUACUGAGACACGGACCAGACUCCUACGGGAGGCAGCAGUGAGGAAUAUUGGACAAUGGGCGCAAGCCUGAUCCAGCCAU